rnacentral:rRNA from 1 species
ACCGCACAAGCGGUGGAUGAUGUGAUUAAUUCGAUGCAACGCGAAAAACCUUACCUACCCUUGACAUGUCAGGAAGUCUGCUGAGAGGUGGAUGUGCCCCGAAAGGGAACCUGAACACAGGUGCUGCAUGGCUGUCGUCAGCUCGUGUCGUGAGAUGUUGGGUUAAGUCCCCGCAACGAGCGCAACCCUUGUCAUUAAUUGCCAUCAUUCAGUUGGGCACUUUAAUGAGACUGCCGGUGACAAACCGGAGGAAGGUGGGGAUGACGUCAAGUCCUCAUGGCCCUUAUGGGUAGGGCUUCACACGUCAUACAAUGGUCGGUACAGAGGGUUGCCAACCCGCGAGGGGGAGCCAAUCCCACAAAAGCCGAUCGUAGUCCGGAUCGCAGUCUGCAACUCGACUGCGUGAAGUCGGAAUCGCUAGUAAUCGUGGAUCAGCAUGUCACGGUGAAUACGUUCCCGGGUCUUGUACACACC